GCGCACCCGUCCCGUGCGUCCCCGGACGUUGCUCUCUGCCCCGGGAACGUCGAGACUGGAGCGCCCGCGCCGAGCCACCUUCGCUGACCCGGAGCGCUGCGGCUCGACUCACCGCGGAGGCGCCGGGACGCGGGAACCAGGCAAUUUCUCUGCUGCCUGGGGUGGCGGCGUUGGGGGCUGCGCAGCCGGGGAACUUCCCACCCAGAGGAAAGGCAGCCUCCUCCCCGCUCUUCUCAGCGGCCCCGCACCGCCCCUCACCACCGUGGGGCUGUCAGCUGUUCCGCUGGAUCUGCUUCCGUUCCUUGGGCUGGCAGGCUACACCUCACACCUUGGGAUUCCAGGAUGUCGGACAAGGCUCUCAAGACCGUCUGGCUCCCCCAGACCCUAGUGCAGGCUGGCAGGCAGCUGUGGGCGAGGUAGGGCGUGUCUGCGGCCGGGCAGAG